rnacentral:lncRNA from 1 species
AGUAGAAGUUAGAGAAUGUUCUCUCCUCGUAAGUGCAAUUAAGAAUGGUGUGCAUUCCCUCCUGGAUACUCAGGAAUGAAGGACUCUGCUCCAGAACAUGGAGGCUGUUCACCCCCGUUUAAACAGAGAGCCACAGACAGAGGACAUUCAUUCAUGGCUGACUACUUUUGGAAGAUAUACUUUCUUUUCAAGUCCCCACAGCAGGUGGAGGUCUCAAGCAGGUCCCCGGGGCUUUUGUACACCUCCCUCCGAUGGUUCUUUCACUGUGCCCUCUUUCAUUGCACAGAAAUACAUUGCUGAGUCCCCCAGUUGUGAAGCGGAGAUGACAAGGACUUUGUACUGUGAGGUGAACCUGGCAUGGUGAGAGAAGAAUUACUGGGCCAUGUGCUGCUGCUACUGCUGCCCUAGAACAGGAAACAGAGGUUUCCUGGUAUAGCAAACUAGUGUGUGUCAUCUCACACUUCUCUAUGUACCGGCUGAGAACCUCACCCAAUACAAACUUUAUUUUGGAUAAACCAACUCUUAAUUUGUUAACAAAUCUGAAAAUAAACAUGGUCACAUUGAGAGGAAAAAUGAUCAUUUGACCAACUACUGUAUUUUAUCAUUGC